CUGCUGCCUUCCGUAGGAGUCUGGGCCGUAUCUCAGUCCCAAUGUGGCCGGCCAACCUCUCAGUCCGGCUACUGAUCGUCGCCUUGGUGGGCCGUUACCUCACCAACUAGCUAAUCAGACGCGAGGCCAUCUUCCAGCGAUAAAUCUUUGACAUCAGUGCCAUGCGACACCAAUGCGUCAUGCGGUAUUAGCAGUCGUUUCCAACUGUUGUCCCCCCUCUGGAAGGCAGGUUCCUCACG
rnacentral:rRNA from 1 species